ACGCUCGACACCACUGGAGGCAGCAGUGGGGAAUAUUGCACAAUGGGGGAAACCCUGAUGCAGCAACGCCGCGUGAAGGAAGACGGUUUUCGGAUUGUAAACUUCUGUUCUUAGUGAAGAUAGUGACGGUAGCUAAGGAGCAAGCCACGGCUAACUACGUGCCUGCAGCCGCGGUAAUCUGAGCGGGCUGGCAAGGC
rnacentral:rRNA from 1 species